CAGACGUUUGGGUAGUAAAGAGGGCCCAGAAAAAAUUGAAUGUCUUGAUAAAGGGAGUGGUGGUUGGGCUGAAUCAGGUAAGAUGGGGCGGCCUAUGUAGCUAUAGGCCAGGUAACCCCUCCCACAACUUCAGGCAUUGCCUACAGCCUCAGCCUUUUUAUUUGUGGCCAGUGAUAAUAAACCGAGUUGGUGUCCGUGAUGUAAGUCGGUUGUGGUUUGGGUAGUCAAAUUACUGCAUUUGGUACUCUAUCUACUAAACUGUGCCAGUACCAAUAAAUAUUAGCUUCUAUUUAUCGAUAAUUUAUAUUUUUAUUCCUAUUAGUGGAUGUAUAGGCAGGGCCC